GAUCAGGAAGAAGACACAGAUGUCUACCCUCAACACUUCUGUUCAACACUUUAUUGUCUGGACCAUUCUAGCCAGCCCAGGUUAGGAUACACCAACUGAUCAACAGAUUGAAGAGAAAAUACUGUGGGGUUUUUUUUUUUUUUUUCCAUUAUGAAGAUAAAGAAAUCAUUACCAAGGUCGGAAAGCUGGGGAGAUGGCAGAGUAAGAGGACCCUAAGCUCACCUCAUCCCACAGACACAACUAGAUAGCACUCACAUCAGCGUAAAUAACACAGAAAAUGGGCCGAAGACUGGAAGAACAGACUUUGCAACUAAAGGUAGGGAAGAGCCAUACUGAAGAAGGUAAGAAGAGUGAAGGUGUGGUUUGGGAGUGAAAGAAACCAUGGCCAUUUAUGGCUGGACAGAGCUGGGUCUCAGAGAAGGGCAAGAAACAGACUGUCAUGCUGGGGAGCCUGCACAAGGAAGAUGAAUCCCCAUAACAUUUGGCCAAACUUAGCAAGUUCUUACAAUUAACAGAACUUAAAUACUGGAAUUUUAAAAAUUACUGAGCUUGGGGGGAGCCUGGAGGGUGUUAAGAAGCUGAGUCUCCACCUGCGUGGAGACAGCACCAGAGCCAGUGAAAAUACAGCAUAGAAGGAACAGUUUGAAAAACACCUGUGGCAGGGGUGCCUGGGUGGCUUAGUCAGUUAAGCAUCUGACUUCA